UAGAAAUCAGCUGGGGGUGUGGGGACUGGAAUGGUGGCACAGGGGAGAGUUCCAAGGAGGACCACGGGGAGUUGGAGGAUAGGGUAGGAAGGAUUUUUGUGGGUGGGAGAAAAAUGUAUAAACAGAACCAAAGGGUAAGGGUCUAUCUGGGAAGAUCACUUCCCCCCGAAUUGAGCUUAGCAUCUGGAAUAUUGGGCCAGAGGUCACAACUGUCUCCCCUGUCAGCGUCCUUUCUUUCGAGCAUCACACUCCUGUCACUUCAGUCUGAAGUUAUAGCAUCGUUUUUUGUUGCCAGCGUGUCUCAUUCCUGGUUUGUAUUGGGUGUGGAUGAGAACGGAAAUCUUCUGGGGUUUCCACAUGGCCCUUGUCUGGACAUCCAGGCCCCCUGUCGCUGACCUUCGGUCACAGCAACGUCCAUGACCUCUCGGAUUUCUUCCUUUGUCUGCUAGAACAUUCCAGACACAGGUGUUUGGAAGCACCUACGCAUCAGGGCCAAGCUACGUGCGGGAGAGACUGAGAAGAGCGUGUCUGGUUCCCUUCCUCGUGGUACCUGGAGUCCACCACGGCUGGGAUUUUACCGUGAUGUCAAUGGCAAGCUUACUGGUCAACGACCUGGACAGACUGUGCGCUGGAGAGAGUCUUCAUUUGCGAGCUCCCCCGGGAGAGUGGGCCCCUGACCUGGGAAAAUGUGCAGCAUAGCCCAGUGUCCUAAGGGCACCCAGUGUUUCCAGAAGGGGCAGACUUUUUCCUGGGAAUGCCGCUAAGUACGGUAGGUCUUGCCUUCCCUGUACACACCCCCACGCUCCACCGACUUGGGCGGUUUCCACACGAGGUCCGGCAGCCUCCGCAGCACCGGGCCGUGUUGGAAAUGCAAAUUCCCGAGGCCCACGCAGAUGUCCAGAGCACAGACCCGGGUGCAGGGCGGGCGCGGUGUCGGAACGGGACCGCCGGAUCACGAAGGAGACGGCAGCUCCCACGUCCGGUCUGUCCUCGGCCGGCGCCGCCAACCUUCUGCAAUGUGGGCCGUCCCUGCGGUGAGAGCGCAGGCCUGGGGGCUGGCCCGGCUCGCCAGAGGCCUUGCUGAGGAACAGAAACCAUGUCAUAGAACAUCACAGACCGGGCCGCUCCGAGACCUUGUCUGAACACAGACAAAAACAGGAACAUGUCCAAACCACAGAAAUAACCAAAAUGUGCUUCCAUCCUAGCUACAGACGAGUGGCCACGGACUCCUGGCCACUGAAAGCUUCAGACUCUGUUUACCCGUGCGUCCAUCUGCUGCUUAGUCACGGAGCCACCCUGCUUGCUGAUGGCGUCCAGCCCCGGGCAGGACCCCACAUCUCAGGAGGACCCAAGGCAAGCCGCGGCCCGUCCCCAGAAAGUCCCUUCUGAUCAGUUCUUACUAGAAUGUCGCCGGCUGCGCUGAGGGAGGCCCCCAUGGGCGCAGGAACAGGUGCACUCCUGGCCGUCUUUGGCUGGACAGUACUGACGGUCGGGGGGUUCCGGUCCCGCAGCCCCCACCCGGCCUGGGACCAGCGCCCUCCCACGAAGAGUCUAUCCCCAGGCCAGCCCAGGUAAGCGCAGAAACGGACAGCUAUUCCUUACGAACAUUUACGUUACGGUUACAUUACGGUUUUAAGAGAUACGGAGGACUUCAGCGGGCAGGACAGACCUCAUGAACGAGGUCACGGAAGCCAGGAACAAAACGGUUUAUGAUCCUAGUCUGGACGCUAAUUCCCAGCGGGCGGAAACGGACGAAGGCGGUCACCCGGGACACGCAGGUGUGUGCACCGUCUGAGGGCACAUCCGGCAUGUGGGAAGGCGACCGACCUUACAUAUUUACUCCUUCGUGUGUCCUCGCAAAAAUCAUGGAGCUUAUCAUGUGCUGGACACUUGAGUGCACUGCCUGCGUUCCAGAAGAAAACGAGGCCGUGUUCUUGUUCUCAGGGAGGGUCCAGUCCGAUGGAGGCCACGGAUGCAAUGAAGCAAGGAGAGAGUGCCGUAGGUGUCGUGCAGACGCUUGGGUCAGGACAUCGCGGCCGCAGAGGCUAAAGGAGCAGGAAGAUGGGAGGUGAGGAAGGAGAGAGGAGGGAGCAUUGAUGGAGGAGCUGACCUUGGGGAUGAGAGGAGGCCACAAGGACGCGGGCUGGGAAGGGAGUUCCCGGGAGCUGGGGACUUCUCAGGACCUGCCACACAGGCCUGGACUGACUCGAGGGGCCCGGGGCAAGGGCACAGGUGCGGCUGCCUGGCUGCUGCCUGUCUCUGCAACCCCGAUGUCCUCACACAGCCGUGUGGACAGUGCCGUCUACACCAGCGGGUUCUGUCCCAUCCCUCCUCAGCGACCUGCCAGGACAUCGGGAAAGUAAAGCCGAGGAGGAGACACUCCUUGCGUCCUGCCCGUGUCUCUCUCCCAAGACAAAGCACAUCAGGACAAGGAAUGAUCGUCUCCUGAGGGCACGGUCCUGCCGUUCGGAAGCACCUUCAUGGCUCUCGUUAUCAUUCAGACUCUGGGGCAGCUGGGAGGAAGGCGCUCUGUCCCUCAGCCCAUCGCCCCAGGGGGACACUCCCGAAGGCAUCUGUACUGAGCCAGAAAGAACAGCGAGUGACAGAUCGGGGACAAAAAAUACCUCCGUUGCAUCCUUUACCUGAUUUCACCCAAUGAUACUGUAUUACUGAAUAUGUAAACCAACAACGUAUAAAACAGCCUGGGGCUGUUUUCAGGAGCUAAGGUCUCGAGUUUCUCCCCUCAGUGGGCUUUUAGACGUUGGAUACAUGACGGCAUUGGGAUCAGACGAGUGACCGAGGCCCAAAGAAUGGCCAAGUUCGUGGGUCGCGGUGACCAGGAAGUUAACUCCUGCAACCCAAGAGUGACACGCAGGAACCGUUAAAGCAGCCCCGUGAACAACAUCACACGUGACAUGCGAGGGAAAACGAGACAACCGCAGGAACGCACACCUCUUCAGAGCCUUUGCCGUUCACCUCCUUGAGUCUAGGCCCCACGAGUGGAGGGCUGAGAAGGAGCCUCAAAGCGUAGUGCUUUGAUCUCAUCACCCCGUCUGCUUUUACAAAAACGUGCUGUUUUUCCAAGGUCAUUCCCCCAGACAGCCGUCUUCUGGAGUGGAAAGCAGAGGCUUCAGAGGCAUUAGGGACCCAGGCUCAAGGCCCAGCUCUCUGCUUACUAGCUGGAUACUUGGGACACACGACCUGACCUCCCGAGUCUUGGUUCCUCGUGUUAAUCAGAGAAAAUCGCUCCCACUGUGUAGGUCUGUCAUAUUCCCGAGAGCUUCCCAGUAUCUGGAAAAUAAUGGCUAUUCACAGACAGUGACUUUGAGCAUGAGGAGAGAGACAAUCGGUCUUGAGGAAACCAGGACAGCAAGGCAGGGUCUCCUGGCAACGCCAGGUUUGGUUUCUGAUUGACUGAAUCGUCUUCCCUCGGAUUCACAGAUGGGCUGUGCUAGGAAGGCAGAAGGCAAGAGCCUGGGAGUUAGCAGGGUGGCCAGAGCUCUGACAGUGGGCAGACACCAGAGACCCUCUGUGAGCCCACCCGGAGAGGGAAGAAAGCGGAACCAGCAGGACACGCAGGAUGUGGGAGCCAGCCCUGGUCACCACCUCACAAGGCUCCGAGCUGACAGCAGACAAUGCGGUGGUGGUGACUUCCCACGACCAGACACUCCUACGGAUCUCCGGCUCAGGGGCAGGGAGCAGCCACGUUAUCUUAUCUAAUUAACUGACUGUUAGAACCUCCUCCACUUAGCGGUAUUUAGACCAGAGCUUUCUUCUGUUAGUUUUCGGGGGAUUCUGUAAUCUCCCACUUUGCAGGGUGACAAAGAUGGUGCCUGGCUUCCUUUUGAACAACAGAGAAUGGCCUGAGACUUGUGCACAAUUCUUAAAUAUCAUAGUCUCUGCUCCUCCUCCUCCUCCUCCAGUAAAAAAUCUUACUUUUGGGAACUGGAAAGACCUCUGAUUGAUCGCAUGACCAUGCGAUCCCAACACUGUAAAGCACUGUGCGCACAUUAUGUCAUUCACUUCCCACCACAAUCCCAGGAGGAGGGAACGACGGUCCCACUUCAUAGACGGAAACCGGCUCAGAGAAGUCAUCACUUGACCAAAGACACAGGGCGAGUGGCUGGCGUUGCCACAGCUGGUUGACCCCAGUGUGGUUUGAGCCCACAACUGCCUUCCAUCCUCUGUCUACACAGCACAGUGAGCUCGUGGAAUGAAAUAACGCGAUUAGACGCACACUGUCGUUGGCAGUUAACUAUGGGUCAGUAAUUACCGUUAAUGAAAGCAAUUAGCGAAUUCACACUGGUCUAGGGGUUUGGAUCUCUGACAACACCGUGCAGGGUGGUGAUGGGUGCUGGGGAGGGCACAUGUGCUGAGCACUGGGUGUUACACGCAACUAGCGCAUCCUUGAACACUGUGUCAGAAACGAAUUCUGUACUACACAGUGCCUAACUGAACAUAAUAAAAAGAAAUAAAAUAAAAUGUU